AUUGAACGCUGGCGGCAUGCUUUACACAUGCAAGUCGAACGGUAACAGGGAGCUUGCUCCGCUGACGAGUGGCGAACGGGUGAGUAAUGCAUCGGAACGUACCCAGUCGUGGGGGAUAACGUAGCGAAAGUUACGCUAAUACCGCAUACGUACCUGAGGGAGAAAGCGGGGGGACCGAAAGGGCCUCGCGCGAUUGGAGCGGCCGAUGUCGGAUUAGCUAGUUGGNGGUAAAGCCUACCAAGGCGACGAUCCGUAGCGGGUCUGAGAGGAUGAUCAGCCACACUGGAACUGAGACACGGUCCAGACUCCUACGGGAGGCAGCAGUAAGGAAUAUUGGACAAUGGGGGAAACCCUGAUCCAGCCAUGCCGCGUGAGUGACGAA
rnacentral:rRNA from 1 species